rnacentral:rRNA from 1 species
AGAGUUUGAUCCUGGCUCAGGAUGAACGCUGGCGGCAUGCCUAAGACAUGCAAGUCGAGGGGCAGCAUGAACUUAGCUUGCUAAGUUUGAUGGCGACCGGCGCACGGGUGAGUAACACGUAUCCAACCUGCCGAUGACUCGGGGAUAGCCUUUCGAAAGAAAGAUUAAUACCCGAUGGCAUAGUUCUUCCGCAUGGUAGAACUAUUAAAGAAUUUCGGUCAUCGAUGGGGAUGCGUUCCAUUAGGUUGUUGGCGGGGUAACGGCCCACCUAGUCUUCGAUGGAUAGGGGUUCUGAGAGGAAGGUCCCCCACAUUGGAACUGAGACACGGUCCAAACUCCUACGGGAGGCAGCAGUGAGGAAUAUUGGUCAAUGGGCGAGAGCCUGAACCAGCCAAGUAGCGUGAAGGAUGACUGCCCUAUGGGUUGUAAACUUCUUUUAUAAAGGAAUAAAGUCGGGUAUGGAUACCCGUUUGCAUGUACUUUAUGAAUAAGGAUCGGCUAACUCCGUGCCAGCAGCCGCGGUAAUACGGAGGAUCCGAGCGUUAUCCGGAUUUAUUGGGUUUAAAGGGAGCGUAGAUGGAUGUUUAAGUCAGUUGUGAAAGUUUGCGGCUCAACCGUAAAAUUGCAGUUGAUACUGGAUAUCUUGAGUGCAGUUGAGGCAGGCGGAAUUCGUGGUGUAGCGGUGAAAUGCUUAGAUAUCACGAAGAACUCCGAUUGCGAAGGCAGCCUGCUAAGCUGCAACUGACAUUGAGGCUCGAAAGUGUGAGUAUCAAACAGGAUUAGAUACCCUGGUAGUCCACACGGUAAACGAUGAAUACUCGCUGUUUGCGAUAUACGGCAAGCGGCCAAGCGAAAGCGUUAAGUAUUCCACCUGGGGAGUACGCCGGCAACGGUGAAACUCAAAGGAAUUGACGGGGGCCCGCACAAGCGGAGGAACAUGUGGUUUAAUUCGAUGAUACGCGAGGAACCUUACCCGGGCUUAAAUUGCAGAUGAAUUACGGUGAAAGCCGUAAGCCGCAAGGCAUCUGUGAAGGUGCUGCAUGGUUGUCGUCAGCUCGUGCCGUGAGGUGUCGGCUUAAGUGCCAUAACGAGCGCAACCCUUGUUGUCAGUUACUAACAGGUCAUGCUGAGGACUCUGACAAGACUGCCAUCGUAAGAUGUGAGGAAGGUGGGGAUGACGUCAAAUCAGCACGGCCCUUACGUCCGGGGCUACACACGUGUUACAAUGGGGGGUACAGAGGGCCGCUACCACGCGAGUGGAUGCCAAUCCCCAAAACCUCUCUCAGUUCGGACUGGAGUCUGCAACCCGACUCCACGAAGCUGGAUUCGCUAGUAAUCGCGCAUCAGCCACGGCGCGGUGAAUACGUUCCCGGGCCUUGCACUCACCGCCCGUCAAG